UUAAAAUUGAUGAAAUUUUUAACCCUCCUAGCUGGUUAAAUUUGGGUUAAAUUUUAACCCUGGGUUAUGUACGAAGCAUCAUGGCGGAUGCUUUGCAGGUUGUUGUGCCAAUACGGAAAUUUCUGCGCAGACAGGGACUAUAUCGUCACAAUAAGGUGAAUAUUCGAGGUUGAACAGACGCAGAAUCAUGAAUCCAGUAUAUAUUCGGAAGCCAAGCAAUUAAUUAUAAUACCACUAUAAUAAUAUACAUGAAAAAAUUCUCAAUUCUAU